GUGCUCGCUUUGGUAGCACUAAAAUUGGAAUGAUACAGAGAUCAGCGUGGCCCCUGUGCAAAGACGACAUGCAAAUUUGUGAAGUGUUCCAUGUUUUA
ensembl:snRNA U6 U6 spliceosomal RNA